rnacentral:rRNA from 1 species
UACAGAGGUCUCAACCGUUGCUCGGAUUCAUUGGGCGUAAAGGGUGCGUAGGCGGUCGUGCAAGUCGGAUGUGAAAUCUCAGGGCUCAACCCUGAAACUGCAUUCGAUACUGCGCGGCUAGAGUGCUGGAGGGGAGACUGGAAUUUACGGUGUAGCAGUGAAAUGCGUAGAUAUCGUAAGGAAGACCAGUGGCGAAGGCGAGUCUCUGGACAGCAACUGACGCUGAGGCACGAAGGCCAGGGGAGCGAACAGG